GCAAACUUGGUCAUUUAGAGGAAGUAAAAGUCGUAACAAGGUUUCCGUAGGUGAACCUGCGGAAGGAUCAUUAACGUAUCUCUGACGGGGGUUGGGCGGCCCUGCUCCGGCUCCGGCCGUGCAGCGGGUCCCCGCUCCCGGACACACACAAACCCCACUGUGCACCUUUCGUGGUGGGAGGACGUGGCGCGAGCCCGUCCGAACCCGCGGUCUCACAGACACGAGUUUAAGAAUGUUCAGCGGACUCUGUUUCCGCCCACAAAUGUAACAACUUUCAACAACGGAUCUCUUGGCUCUCGCAUCGAUGAAGAACGCAGC
rnacentral:misc_RNA from 1 species